rnacentral:rRNA from 1 species
AGAGCACAGGGUGGAUGCCCAGGCACCAAACGCCGACGAAAGACGUGGCAAGCUGCGAAAAGUCACGGGGAACCGCAAGCAGGUAUUGAUCCGUGAACGUCUGAAUGGGGAAACCCGGCGGGUUAACAGCCCGUCACUAUUAACUGAAUCAAUAGGUUAAUAGGGGGAACGCGGGGAACUGAAACAUCUCAGUACCCGUAGGAAGAGAAAAUAAAGAAUGAUUUCCUAAGUAGCGGCGAGCGAACGGGAAAGAGGCCAAACCGAAGGGCUUGCUCUUCGGGGUUGUGGAUCAGCAAUAAGGACGAGAGACCUUAGCAGAAGAGGAUUGGAAAGUCCCGCCAGAGAGGGUAAAAGCCCCUUACGCGAAAAGGUCAAACGACGAGCUGACACCAGAGUACCGCAGGACACGAGAAAUCCGGUGGGAAGCCGGGAGGACCACCUCCCAAGCCUAAAUACGAAUUGGUGACCGAUAGCGCAUAGUACCGUGAGGGAAAGGUGAAAAGAACCCCGGGAGGGGAGUGAAAAAGAACCUGAAACCCUGUGUUUACAAGCAGUGAAAGUGCAAGUUAGGCACGAUCACGUACUUUUUGUAGAACGGACCGGCGAGUUACGUUAUGCAGCAAGGUUAAGAACUGAAGGUUCGGAGCCGAAGCGAAAGCGAGUCUGAAUAGGGCGAUAGUUGCAUGACGUAGACCCGAAACCGGGUGACCUAUCCAUGAGCAGGUUGAAGUGGAGGUAAAGCUCCAUGGAGGACCGAACCAGACGUCUGUUGAAAAAGGCGGGGAUGACUUGUGGAUAGGGGAGAAAUUCCAAUCGAACCCGGAGAUAGCUGGUUCUCCUCGAAAUAGCUUUAGGGCUAGCCUCAUGGAUCAUUGGUGGGGGUAGAGCACUGAAUGUGCGCGGGGGCCACAAAGCCUACCAAACGCUAUCAAACUUCGAAUACCAUACAAUGCAGACCAUGGGAGUCAGUCCGCGAGAGAUAAGUUCCGCGGGCAAAAGGGGAACACCCCAGAUCAACCGCUAAGGUCCCCAAGUUCACGUUAAGUGGAGAAGGAUGUGGAAUUGCACAGACAACCAGGAUGUUGGCUCAGAAGCAGCCACACAUUUAAAGAGUGCGUAAUAGCUCACUGGUCGAGUGAUUGUGCGCCGAAGAUGUCCGGGGCUAAACGUGACACCGAAGCGAUGGGUGCAUCUGAAAGGAUGCGCGGUAGAGGAGCAAUGUGCAGAGGCAGAAGCCGUAUCGAGAGGCACGGUGGACACUGCACAAGAGAGAAUGCCGGUAUGAGUAGCGAGAGGCAUGCGAGAAACAUGCCCGUCGAAAGCCCAAGGUUUCCUGGGGAAGGUUCAUCCGCCCAGGGUAAGUCGGGGCCUAAGCCGAGGACGGAAGUCGUAGGCGAUGGACAGCAGGUGUAGAUUCCUGCACUACCGAUGGAAUGAAGCAGUGACACAGAAGGAUAACUCGAGCAGGGUGAUGGUCAACCCUGUGCAAGCAUCAAGGUUGGGUUGUAGUGAAGUACGCAACCCUAUAAGCUGAGGUGUGAUGCGGACCGAAAUUUCAGUAGGGAAGCGAGUGAGUUCACGCUGGCGAGAAAAGCUGCUAGUACAUCCAAAGGUACCCGUACCGGAAACCGACGCAGGUGGGCGAGGAGAGAAUCCUGAGACGAACGGGAGAACCCUUGUUAAGGAACUCGGCAAAAUGACCCCGUAACUUCGGGAUAAGGGGUGCCUGCGAGAGCAGGCCGCAGAGAAUAGUCACAAGCGACUGUUUAGCAAAAACACAGGUAUCUGCGAAAGCGAGAGCUGACGUAUAGGUGCUGACACCUGCCCGGUGCUGGAAGGUUAAGGGAACAUGUUAGAGCAAUCGAAGCAUCGAACCGAAGCCCCAGUAAACGGCGGCCGUAACUAUAACGGUCCUAAGGUAGCGAAAUUCCUUGUCGGGUAAGUUCCGACCCGCACGAAUGGUGUAACGACUUGUGAGCUGUCUCAACAGGGGGCCCGGUGAAAUUGAAGUAUGGGUGAAGAUGCCCAUUACCCGCGACUGGACGGAAAGACCCCGUAGAGCUUUACUGCAGCCUGAUAUUGAGUUUCGGUAACUGAUGCACAGGAUAGGUGGGAGUCUGAGAGACAUGGGUUUCGGCUCGUGUGGAGACGAUGUUGGGAUACCACUCUUCGGUUACUGAAAUUCUAACAUAGCUCUGUGAAACCAGAGGAUGGACAGUGUCAGGUGGACAGUUUGACUGGGGCGGUCGCCUCCGAAAGAGUAACGGAGGCGCCCAAAGG